AUGACUCUGCCAACCCUCCCUGGAGGCACCAGGAGCUCUGUGGGACCAGGGGCUGCUCCAAGAGCUGCAGGAGCAUCUUGGCUUUGGAUUCUCAGGGAGUGAAGGUGGAAAAAAGCAGUGACCUGGCAGUCAAAAAUCUACAAGUCACCAGCUUAGCACUGCCUAAGUUUAAAAGAUUUUAACUACUGAAAGAGCACCAGAAAAAAAAUCAAGUAUAAAGAAGAAAGCAAAUUAAGCCCUCUGAUGUUCCCGCAGGAAAAGGAUGAGCCCUAUUAAACCAGAACAUCAGCAUCCAAAGCAACAAGCAGAGGUUAUAAGAGGAACAGAGAAGAAAGCAAUGUAUCUCCAAAGAAUUCCUGCCAACACUGCAAAUUAGAAAUGUCACAUUCCUACAGCUGAGAGAGGGAAAAGACAGAGCUUCAUGGGAAGAUGGAGUACUGCCAUUUUCAUUCAGAGCCCAUAAAAGCUUAUUU